rnacentral:lncRNA from 1 species
GUGGAGCCUGGCGACUGCUUUGGGAAGUCCUGCUGGCAGGCACUCUGCCCCUGGGGGUGUGCAAAGAGUUGUCCAGUUACCUUGAUCUUCUCACAGCCUCCUCCCCAGGGCACCAGGAGAGACCAGGAUUGGAGGACGGUAAAGAACACACUUCCCAGAGGAUUCUUGGAGGUGGCUUCCUCCAGGCAGUAAAUCUACAGCCCAGGCUCCCUGCAUCUUAUGGCUCCAAUCACUUUGGAUCUCAUCGUCGCCUGCACAUUGCCAUACACAGGGAAGGAGAAGAGAUGGAGAAGGCAAAGACUUUCUGAAAGCCGUGGCUAAAAGCUGGCAUGUGUCACAUCAGCUCACAUUCCAUUGUAGAGACGGGGUUUCACCGUGUUAGCCAGGAUGGUCUUGAUAUCCUGACCUCGUGAUCCGCCCGCCUUGGCUUCCCAAAGUGCUGGGAUUACAGGCGUGAGCCACCGCUCCCGGCCUGGCAGGCAUUCUUGAGGCAAACGGGAAAUGGGGUAAGUUACACAAUCGAUACAGCUCCGUCAUCGUGGUUUAAUUACUUUUCCACGUACCAUGUUUCCUGACAGGUAGAACGAUCAGCCUGGGCCUCCGUUUUUCAUUCUACAAAGAAUGAAGUGCAUGAACUGUCCUCUAUAGAAUUGUGGAAAAAGUUGUUUUUAUUGAGUUGUGGUUAUCUUUGUCUUCAUGGUCUAAUUACGGAAAUAAAUGCUUUUCCGAGUCUCCGGGGAUGGUCUGCCCUAGUCCAGCUCUCUGCAGUGUCUUUCUGGGUUUUUCCUCAGUGAACGGGAGGAACAUUGGCAGCACUUGUGGUCUGCACCAAGAACUGAAUCGAAUUUCCAUGUGUUAUUGAAUGUUCACAAAGACCUUGUACAGCGAGUGUUACUACCUCUGGUCAAUGAUUCAACUCAAGGCUCAGAAAAGUCAAGUGUCUUGUCCAGGGACACUUAGUCAGAAGUGAAUCCAAGGUUUAAGCUCAAGUCUGCCUAACUCUGAAUUUCACAGCCUUUUGCUACAUAUGGCGAAUAAUAUAUCCCUGAGCACUAAAGGCAGACUCCAAGGAUCUUGUCUCUGCAAUCAUCAUUCUGGCCAUAAUUUAUGAAAAGCAACCCAAAGUAUGUGAUGUAAUAAAAAGUACUAUCUAUGAGUUUACCCUUCCAAAAAUUGAACUGAAUUCUGAGCUCUAAAUUUGGAAUCAAAAGAACUUUUCUCUGCACUAAUCAUUUGGAACAUCACUUAAAGAAAACAACGAAAAACUGGUGUCCCCUGAGAGAAAGCAAUACAAAACAUUAUGCAUAAAGAAAUCCUUCCAAAAAAUAAACCAAAUCCAGUCAAAUCUCUAGUUUUGACUCCUAGCUUACCGGAAAUACGUGAUGGGAAAAAAAUGAAAUGACACCACUAUGAUUCAAUCAGCCAAAUCCAGCAUAUGCAAAUUUCUACCAGAUAAAUGGUUUAGUUUCUUCCCCAAACAAAUGGCACAAGGAAACGGAGAUGGAGUUCCCCUCUGCCACCCAGACUGGAGUACAGUGGCGCGAUCCUGGCCAUCGCAACCUCCGCCUCCCAGAUCCCUCCUACAACACAUGAGAAUUGUGGGUGCUACAAUUCAAGAUGAGAUUUGAGUGGGGACAAAGUCAAACCAUAUCAUUAGAUAGGACACUGGAGAAAGGCAAGAAAGAAAAGACAUCUGAAGAAUGAAGGGAGCCAAAGAAAUGCCAACAUUUUGCUUUUUGAAGAAAAGCUAAAUUAAAGUCAAAAUGGAUUUAUCAAUUUCCUUGGGUUCGUGAAUGUACAGAACUUUAUUAAGACUGUCAUGCUGUCAUCAUGGCUGGAUCUGAUACGGCCACCGUGGACCUUGAGGUGACCUCGGGAAUGGAGACAGUGCAUGGGAGAGAAUCACAUUGGAAGGGGCCUGGGUUUCUGAAGACCCUGUAAGACAGAUCUCCUUGCAGCCCUGACUGCCCACAUUAGGGCUUUUAUGUUAGGGUGAAGUUACCUUGCAUUGUCAUAUAAGCAAUUGCUAUUUGUGGUGUCUUGCAAAUAAACCUAUUCUGAUCUAGUAUGUUUCCUAA